UACGGGGGGAGCAAGCGUUGUUCGGAUUUACUGGGCGUAAAGGGCGCGUAGGCGGUCAGCACAAGUCAGUUGUGAAAUCUCCGGGCUUAACUCGGAAAGGUCAACUGAUACUGUGCGACUAGAGUGCAGGAGGGGCAACUGGAAUUCUCGGUGUAGCGGUGAAAUGCGUAGAUAUCGAGAGGAACACCUGCGGCGAAGGCGGGUUGCUGGGCUGACACUGACGCUGAGGCGCGAAAGCCAGGGGAGCGAACGGG
rnacentral:rRNA from 1 species